rnacentral:rRNA from 1 species
UACGAAGGGUGCAAGCGUUACUCGGAAUUACUGGGCGUAAAGGGUGCGUAGGUGGUUUGUUAAGUCUGCUGUGAAAUCCCCGGGCUCAACCUGGGAAUGGCAGUGGAUACUGGCAAGCUAGAGCGCGGUAGAGGGUAGUGGAAUUCCCGGUGUAGCAGUGAAAUGCGUAGAGAUCGGGAGGAACACCAGUGGCGAAGGCGGCUACCUGGACCAGCACUGACACUGAAGCACGAAAGCGUGGGGAGCAAACAGG